GACGAAGGGGGCUAGCGUUGUUCGGAAUUACUGGGCGUAAAGCGCGUGUAGGCGGUUGUUCAAGUCGGGUGUGAAAGCCUUGAGCUCAACUCAAGAAAUGCACUCGAUACUGGAUGACUUGAGGACCGGAGAGGAUAGUGGAAUUCCCAGUGUAGUGGUGAAAUACGUAGAGAUUGGGAAGAACACCAGUGGCGAAGGCGGUUCUCUAGUACGGUACUGACGCUGAGACGCGAAAGCGUGGGGAGCGAACAGG
rnacentral:rRNA from 1 species